GACGAACGCUGGCGGCGUGCCUAAUACAUGCAAGUAGAACGCUGAAGAGAGGAGCUUGCUCUUCUUGGAUGAGUUGCGAACGGGUGAGUAACGCGUAGGUAACCUGCCUUGUAGCGGGGGAUAACUAUUGGAAACGAUAGCUAAUACCGCAUAACAAUGGAUGACACAUGUCAUUUAUUUGAAAGGGGCAAUUGCUCCACUACAAGAUGGACCUGCGUUGUAUUAGCUAGUAGGUGAGGUAAUGGCUCACCUAGGCGACGAUACAUAGCCGACCUGAGAGGGUGAUCGGCCACACUGGGACUGAGACACGGCCCAGACUCCUACGGGAGGCAGCAGUAGGGGAUCUUCGGCAAUGGGGGCAACCCUGACCGAGCAAAGCCGCGGGAGUGAAGAAGGUUUUCGGACCGUAAAGCUCUGUUGUAAGUCAAGAACGGGUGUGAGAGUGGAAAGUUCACACUGUGACGGUAGCUUACCAGAAAGGGACGGCUAACUACGUG
rnacentral:rRNA from 1 species